rnacentral:snRNA from 1 species
ACUCAUACUCUACAGAGGAAAUACCAUGUCAUAAAAGUCGUUUUCCCAGGGGGAAACUCAUCCAUUGCUCUUCAGGUAUGCUGCUGAUCCCUGUGAUUUCCCCAAAUGUGGGGAACUCAACUGUAUAAUUUGUGCUAAUGGGAGAUUGCAUGUGUGAUUUCCCU